UGGGGAAUAUUGCACAAUGGGCGCAAGCCUGAUGCAGCCAUGCCGCGUGUAUGAAGAAGGCCUUCGGGUUGUAAAGUACUUUCAGCGGGGAGGAAGGGAGUAAAGUUAAUACCUUUGCUCAUUGACGUUACCCGCAGAAGAAGCACCGGCUAACUCCGUGCCAGCAGCCGCGGUAAUACGGAGGGUGCAAGCGUUAAUCGGAAUUACUGGGCGUAAAGCGCACGCAGGCGGUUUGUUAAGUCAGAUGUGAAAUCCCCGGGCUCAACCUGGGAACUGCAUCUGAUACUGGCAAGCUUGAGUCUCGUAGAGGGGGUAGAAUUCCAGGUGUAGCGGUGAAAUGCGUAGAGAUCUGGAGGAAUACCGGUGGCGAAGGCGGCCCCCUGGACGAAGACUGACGCUCAGGUGCGAAAGCGUGGGGAGCAAACAGG
rnacentral:rRNA from 1 species